rnacentral:rRNA from 1 species
AGCUCCAGUAGCGUAUAUUAAAGUUGUUGCAGUUAAAAAGCUCGUAGUUGGAUUUCUGAUUUGACAAGAAUGUGGUCGCUAGCCGUUAGGCGCGUGACCCAGAACUGUCUAUCAUCCUUCUAGAAAGCGCGCCUACCCUUCACUGGGCUGGGCGCGUGCUCUAGAUCUUUUACUUUGAAGAAAUUAGAGUGUUCAAAGCAGGCUUGCGCUAUGAAUACAUUAGCAUGGAAUAAUAAUUUAGGACUUCGGUUUUAUUUUGUUGGUCUAUAAAACAGAAGUAAUGAUUGAUAGGGAUAGUUGGGGGUGCUAGUAUUCCGCGGCCAGAGGUGAAAUUCUUGGAUUCGCGGAAGACUAACUUAUGCGAAAGCAUUCGCCAAGGAUGUCUUCUUUA